rnacentral:lncRNA from 13 species
CAAGAGUGAAACUCCAUCUCAAAAAAGGAAAAUUAAAAGACCAAAGUUAUAUCUCCUGAUUCCUCUACUUUUGUGCAACUCCCAUCUUAGGCAGGCUCUCUGUCUCGAAACUUUGAAGACUUCGUGUAUCGUUCGUCCACUGAACACAAACUGGGCCUUGGGUCUAUGGUUGACGUCACCUGAAGGGCAUCUUUUGACGUCACCUGAAGGGUCAGUGCAACAAACCGCGCUUCAAUGGCUUCCCACCCUUCCUGCAGAGGCAGAUAAUUUUUGCUUUUCCCUGCUGCACAGAGCGUAG